rnacentral:lncRNA from 1 species
CUUUCCUGUAGGUCGGUGCGCUGCUGGCGGGGGCUGCUGAGAGCAAGGUUGAGAGCUGGAACCAGGAGGGGCCGCGAAUAAAGAGUCUGGAGCAGAGGGGUCCCGGCCUCGCCCGCCCAAAUUGGGUCCAGGAAUCGGCUGGACGUGGUGUGCAUGGCAAUAUAUUCCUUCAGAGCCUAGAAGGACUUCAAGGUGACCAAGUCCCAAAAGGAGCCUGCAUCCCUAAGAUUCUGCUAGAAAGAAAGCUACCUUGGGCAAAACCAGAAGCAUUAAUGGAGUAGAAAACUCUGUCAUGCAACUGCACUGACUUUUAGGGUUGUUGAUAACAACAGGUAUCAUUCAUUGCCCCAGCUUGCACAAUAUAUACAAAUGGUUUUUUAAAAAGUGUCCCUGAAACACCAAUACAAUUUUUUUCCGCAUAUUUCCUCUUGCUUGGGGGAUGUCAGCCAUGUUUGCACCGCUCUGGAGAUUUUGGAUGAAAUAGGCUGGCUCCCUCUGGUUUGAGCUUCCUGUAUCUGAAUCUUACAGAUUUAUUAAAGGGGGAAGAGGUCUGGACCAGAGCUUCUCUGAUGAGAAAUUAC